UUCGUAGGUGGAUAAUUAAGUCAGAGGUGAAAUCCUGCAGCUCAACUGUAGAAUUGCCUUUGAUACUGGUUAUCUUGAGUCAUUAUGAAGUGGUUAGAAUGUGUAGUGUAGCGGUGAAAUGCAUAGAUAUUACACAGAAUACCGAUUGCGAAGGCAGAUCACUAAUAAUGUACUGACACUGAGGGACGAAAGCGUGGGGAGCGAACAGGAUUAGAUACCCUGGUAGUCC
rnacentral:rRNA from 1 species